rnacentral:rRNA from 1 species
UACGUAGGGUGCGAGCGUUGUCCGGAAUUAUUGGGCGUAAAGAGCUUGUAGGCGGUCUGUCGCGUCUGCUGUGAAAAUCCGGGCUCAACCCGGACUUGCAGUGGUACGGGCAGACUAGAGUGUGGUAGGGGAGACUGGAAUUCCGUGGUGUAGCGGUGAAAUGCGCAGAUAUCAGGAGGAACACCGGUGGCGAAGGCGGCAUCCUGGACCGGCAUUGACGCUGAGGCGCGAAAGCCAGGGGAGGCAAACGG